rnacentral:rRNA from 1 species
UACAGAGGGGGCAAGCGUUGUUCGGAAUUACUGGGCGUAAAGGGCGCGUAGGCGGCCGCCUAAGUCAGACGUGAAAUCCCUCGGCUCAACCGGGGAACUGCGUCUGAUACUGGAUGGCUUGAGUUCGGGAGAGGGAUGCGGAAUUCCAGGUGUAGCGGUGAAAUGCGUAGAUGUCUGGAGGAACACCGGUGGCGAAGGCGGCAUCCUGGACCGAAACUGACGCUGAGGAGCGAAAGCCAGGGGAGCAAACGGG